UACGUAGGCAGCGAGCGUUGUUCGGAGUUACUGGGCGUAAAGGGUGUGUAGGCGGUUUUCUAAGUUUGGUGUGAAAUCUCCCGGCUCAACUGGGAGGGUGCGCCGAAAACUGGGAGACUAGAGUGCGGGAUGGGAGAGUAGAAUUCCUGGUGUAGCGGUGAAAUGCGUAGAUAUCAGGAGGAAUACCGGUGGUGUAGACGGCUCUCUGGACCGCCACUGACGCUGAGACACGAAAGCGUGGGGAGCGAACAGG
rnacentral:rRNA from 1 species